rnacentral:misc_RNA from 1 species
GUGGCCCUUGUAAUGGCGCCUCGGUGCCGGAACAGAUCGCACACUUCGAGCCUGUUACCACUGCUAGUACUCCAACAACAGCUACCACCUUACCGACAACCGCACACGGUCAUGGGCACCACAACACGCACGUGCAUACAGACCACGGUCACCACCACACUGUGACUACCACCCAAACAACAACAGAGAGUACGACCACCACCGCUACCUUACCGUCAACAACACAAUCAAUCCAUACUUCUACUACGUCACCAUCAACGACAACUCAGACAACGGCAACCACCUUGCCGUCAACAACGACAACAACAGCGACAACAACAGCGACAACAAUGCCAACCAGUACAACCACCCCCGCACCAAUAGUGUGCUCGGGCAAUACUUCGAUAGUAUGCGAAGACGACCCUCUGGCUCACUGUGCUACCCUAUUAUCAGUUGGACUUUGCCAAAAGCUGCAGUACAACCCUGAUAGGGAGGACAUCAAGUUUUGUCCGAAAACAUGUAACCUGUGUGACAAAUAUUGCGAGUAUGUCCUAAAACCAAAGCAACCACCGACAACCACACCUGCUCCGAGUAAGAUAACAACCUUCAAAUUACUUCAAAUUAUUGCAAUUGAAAUUUAAAGAUUAUUUUUAAAAAUAUGAAUAAUAGAUGUAUGUCGUAACUAGCGUUUUCUGUUUGUGCAGAAACUAACACUGCGAUUGUUAUGUAUCCAAAUCAAUUAUUCGCGCUCCGUGACACUCUUUCUGAUCGUAACUUCGGUUUGUUGCAAAAAAUAGUUCAUCAAAGAAGCUACAAUGGACUUGCGAUAUAAAAGUACGUUUUAUUUAUUUAUUUUAUUUUAUUUUUGUAUUUAUCUAUUUUUGCUUGCAAAAAUAUGCGUGUGUUAUUUUCUAUGCAACUAAGAAACAUACUAUAAUCUUGAUAGAUUUAAAGCUUGAAGUAAGAUUUAGUCCUAACGAAACGGGUAUUUACAGAAACAUUGAGUUAGCUUCAACUUAAGUAACCGGUUUAUAUUCCAUGUAGCGCAUCAGAUGACUACAAACGCAACAACCAUAAAGCCUCUAACAACGACGAACAAAGCUUCCACUACAUCACCUACCGCCAACAUCACAACCAACACAACAGCAGGAACAACUAGCUCUAACCCUACAACCAAAGCAACAAUUAGUUUUAUUCACAAAUCCACAGUCACAACAACAAACAAGGACCAAAUAACUACUGCAACAAUGUCAACAACUAGCACUAACCCCACAACCACAGCAACAACCGCAACAACAACCACAGGAACAACCGCAACAACAACCACAGCAACAACCACAUCAACAAACACAGCAACAACCGCAACAACAACCACAACCAUUCUCACAACAACCACAGCAGCACACCCUGAGUGCUACAUUUGUACUGGACCUGUCACUCUUUGUGAAAACUUGUAUGCACCUCAAAGUUGUACUUCAGACAAACCUUUCUGUAUCAAUGAGGUCAACAAUAACUCAGAUGGAACCAGAACUGUUGCAAGGCGGUGUGCUUCCAAGACAGAAUGCAUACAGAACUGGUGGCUAGGUUCAUCUAGUCGCUCAGAGUGCGCGGGAUUCGAUCCUACAUCCCCGACUCUCGAUCAAUUCUCGUGUUCAUUCUGCUGCACCACGCCUCUCUGUAAUAAGAACAUUGUACCACGUGAUCUCUAUGUCCAAUAAAAUUCACACAUGUCUUUUGGGCAAAUAAAUAAACCAAUAAAAUAUGGAAAUC